AUCUGUUCUUAUCAGUUUAAUAUCUGAUAUGUUCUCUAUAUGAGAACUCUAUAUUAAAUAGAUUUUUGAAACAGGGAAAGGGAAUAGGAGCUUGCUCCAUCCUUUCCAUGCAUUGACCUGGUAUUGCAGUGUUUCCAGGAACAGUGCACUUCCC
rnacentral:snRNA from 1 species